rnacentral:lncRNA from 1 species
AGCCCCAUUAAUAGUAUAACUCAACAUUUCCAAUUAACUUUGUCACUAGCAUGAGUACUUAUCAUAGGGAAGGAAGAAAUUAUAUUCCUAGAAUGUGCUCUAAUAUAAUUACUCGAUCAACUUCAUUUCUACUACAUUGAAGCUCUUUCAUGGGAUCACAAAAGUUGGGUGCCCAUUAUAGGUGACUGAGUAGUAGGCUUAAGCCCCAUUUCCCUUGGUGA